rnacentral:rRNA from 1 species
UAACGGCGAGUGAAGCGGCAACAGCUCAAAUUUGAAAUCUGGCUCUCGGGCCCGAGUUGUAAUUUGUAGAGGAUGCUUUUGGUGAGGUGCCUUCCGAGUUCCCUGGAACGGGACGCCAUAGAGGGUGAGAGCCCCGUCUGGUUGGACACCGAUCCUCUGUAAAGCUCCUUCGACGAGUCGAGUAGUUUGGGAAUGCUGCUCUAAAUGGGAGGUAUAUGUCUUCUAAAGCUAAAUACCGGCCAGAGACCGAUAGCGCACAAGUAGAGUGAUCGAAAGAUGAAAAGAACUUUGAAAAGAGAGUUAAACAGUACGUGAAAUUGUUGAAAGGGAAGCGCUUGUGACCAGACUUGGGCUUGGUUGAUCAUCCGGGGUUCUCCCCGGUGCACUCUUCCGGCCCAGGCCAGCAUCAGUUCGCCCUGGGGGACAAAGGCUUCGGGAAUGUGGCUCUCUCCGGGGAGUGUUAUAGCCCGUUGCGUAAUACCCUGUGGCGGACUGAGGUUCGCGCAUUCGCAAGGAUGCUGGCGUAAUGGUCAUCAGUGACCCGUCUUGAAACACGGACCAAGGAGUCGUCUUCGUAUGCGAGUGUUCGGGUGUCAAACCCCUACGCGAAAUGAAAGUGAACGCAGGUGAGAGCUUCGGCGCAUCAUCGACCGAUCCUGAUGUUAUCGGAUGGAUUUGAGUAAGAGCAUACGGGGCCGGACCCGAAAGAAGGUGAACUAUGCCUGUGUAGGGUGAAGCCAGAGGAAACUCUGGUGGAGGCUCGCAGCGGUUCUGACGUGCAAAUCGAUCGUC